rnacentral:rRNA from 1 species
UCCCCUAGUAACUGCGAGUGAAGCGGGAAAAGCUCAAAUUUAAAAUCUGGUGGUCUCUGGCCAUCCGAGUUGUAAUUUAGAGAAGCGUCUUCCGCGCUGGACCGUGCAUAAGUCUCCUGGAAUGGAGCGUCAUAGAGGGUGAGAAUCCCGUCUUUGGCAUGGACCCCAGGGCUUCUGUGAUGCGCUCUCGAAGAGUCGAGUUGUUUGGGAAUGCAGCUCAAAAUGGGUGGUGAACUCCAUCUAAAGCUAAAUAUUGGCGAGAGACCGAUAGCGAACAAGUACCGUGAGGGAAAGAUGAAAAGCACUUUGGAAAGAGAGUGAAACAGUACGUGAAAUUGUUGAAAGGGAAACGCUUGAAGUCAGUCGCGUCGACCGAGACUCAGCCUUGCCUUGGCUUGGUGUACUUCUCGGCUGACGGGUCAGCAUCAAUUUUGGUCCUUGGAUAAUGGCAAGGGAAAGGUGGCACCUUUAUAGGUGUGUUAUAGUCCUCUGUCGCAUACAAGGAUUGGGAUUGAGGAACUCAGCACGCGCCUCAAGAGGGUGUCGGGGCCGCUUGGCUCACGUUUACGUGCUUAGGAUGUUGGCAUAAUGGCUUUAAACGACCCGUCUUGAAACACGGACCAAGGAGUCUAACAUGCCCGCGAGUGUUCAGGUGGAAAACCUGUGCGCGCAAUGAAAGUAAAAGUUGGGACCUCUGUCGUGGAGGGCACCGACGCCCGGACCAGACCUUCUGUG